CUGGCGGCGCGCCUAACACAUGCAAGUCGAACGAGCAAAGAGGAGCUUGCUUCUCGAGCGAGUGGCGAACGGGUGAGUAACGCGUGAGGAACCUGCCUUAAAGAGGGGGACAACAGUUGGAAACGACUGCUAAUACCGCAUAAGCCCACGGUGCCGCAUGGCACAGAGGGAAAAGGAGCAAUCCGCUUUGAGAUGGCCUCGCGUCCGAUUAGCUAGUUGGUGAGGUAACGGCCCACCAAGGCGACGAUCGGUAGCCGGACUGAGAGGUUGAACGGCCACAUUGGGACUGAGACACGGCCCAGACUCCUACGGGAGGCAGCAGUGGGGGAUAUUGCACAAUGGGGGAAACCCUGAUGCAGCGACGCCGCGUGGAGGAAGAAGGUUUUCGGAUUGUAAACUCCUGUCGUUAGGGACGAUAAUGACGGUACCUAACAAGAAAGCACCGGCUAACUACGUG
rnacentral:rRNA from 1 species